rnacentral:rRNA from 1 species
UUGAUCCUGGCUCACAUUGAACGCUGGCGGCAUGCCUUACACAUGCAAGUCAAACGGCAGCACGGGUGCUUGCACCUGGUGGCCAGUGGCGAACGGGUGAGUAAUACAUCGGAACGUACCUUAUCGUGGGGGAUAACGCAUCGAACGCUGUGCUAAUACCGCCCACGCCCUGAGGGGGAAAGCGGGGGAUCGAAAGACCUCGCGCGAUUAGAGCGGCCGAUGCCUGAUUACCUUGUUGGUGGGGUAAAAGCCCACCAAGGCGACGAUCAGUAGCUGGUCUGAGAGGACGAUCAGCCUGACUGGGACUGAUACUCCGCCCAUACUCCUACGGGAGGC